UAGGGAAUCUUGCGCAAUGGGCGAAAGCCUGACGCAGCCAUGCCGCGUGAAUGAUGAAGGUCUUAGGAUUGUAAAAUUCUUUCACCGGGGAAGAUAAUGACGGUACCCGGAGAAGAAGCCCCGGCUAACUUCGUGCCAGCAGCCGCGGUAAUACGAAGGGGGCUAGCGUUGCUCGGAAUUACUGGGCGUAAAGGGCGCGUAGGCGGAUGUUUAAGUCGGGGGUGAAAGCCCGGGGCCCAACCUCGGAAUUGCCUUCGAUACUGGACAUCUUGAGUACGGGAGAGGUGAGUGGAACUCCGAGUGUAGAGGUGAAAUUCGUAGAUAUUCGGAAGAACACCAGUGGCGAAGGCGACUCACUGGCCCGUUACUGACGCUGAGGCGCGAAAGCGUGGGGAGCAAACAGGAUUAGAUACCCUGGUAGUCCACGCCGUAAACGAUGAGUGCUAGUUGUCGGCAUGCAUGCAUGUCGGUGACGCAGCUAACGCAUUAAGCACUCCGCCUGGGGAGUACGGUCGCAANAUUAAAACUUAAAUGAAUUGACGGGGUCAUAGCUGUUUCCU
rnacentral:rRNA from 1 species